UCAGUUGUGAAAGUUUGCGGCUCAACCGUAAAAUUGCAGUUGAUACUGGGUGUCUUGAGUACAGUAGAGGCAGGCGGAAUUCGUGGUGUAGCGGUGAAAUGCUUAGAUAUCACGAAGAACUCCGAUUGCGAAGGCAGCUUGCUGGACUGUAACUGACGCUGAUGCUCGAAAGUGUGGGUAUCAAACAGGAUUAGAUACCCUGGUAGUCCACACAGUAAACGAUGAAUACUCGCUGUUUGCGAUAUACAGUAAGCGGCCAAGCGAAAGCGUUAAGUAUUCCACCUGGGGAGUACGCCGGCAACGGUGAAACUCAAAGGAAUUGACGGGGGCCCGCACAAGCGGAGGAACAUGUGGUUUAAUUCGAUGAUACGCGAGGAACCUUACCCGGGCUUGAAUUGCAACUGAAUGAUGUGGAGACAUGUCAGCCGCAAGGCAGUUGUGAAGGUGCUGCAUGGUAA
rnacentral:rRNA from 1 species